rnacentral:rRNA from 1 species
AGGAGGGGCGGCACCGGACCCGAGAGGGGCUGUUAGAGAUUGUUGAGAUCGCUGCGCAGAUGAACUCCGCGAACCGCCCGGCCCUGAAGCAGAUCCGCCAGGAGCUCCUGGCCAGAUGAAGAGAUGGUCCACCCCGUGGCGAAAGUCACGGAACACGGUGAGCGAAAUUCCUUGUCGGGUAAGUUCCGACCUGCACGAAAGGCGUAACGACUUGGGCGCUGUCUCGAGGAGGGGCUCGGCGAAGGUGUACCACCCGUGAAGAUACGGGUUUCCCGCAGCUGGACGGAAAGACCCCGUGGAGCUUUACUGCAGCCUGAUACUGGAUGUGGUUUUGGCAUGUAUAGGAUAGGUGGGAGGCUGGGAAGCGGGGGCGCCAGCUCCCGUGGAGCCACCCUUGGAAUACCACCCUUGUCAGGACUACGUCCUAACCGGGGCCCUACACCGGGUCCUGGGACCGUGUCAGGUGGGCAGUUUGACUGGGGCGGUCGCCUCCUAAAGGGUAACGGAGGCGCCCAAAGGUCCCCUCAGCACGGUUGGAAACCGUGCGUCGAGUGCAAGGGCAUAAGGGGGCUUGACUGCGAGACCCACAAGUCGAGCAGGGGCGAAAGCCGGGCCUAGUGAUCCUACGGCGGCAAGUGGAAGCGCCGUGGCUUAACGGAUAAAAGCUACCCCGGGGAUAACAGGCUGAUCUCCCCCAAGAGUCCACAUCGACGGGGAGGUUUGGCACCUCGAUGUCGGCUCAUCCCAUCCUGGGGGGGCAGUACCUCCCAAGGGUUGGGCUGUUCGCCCAUUAAAGGGGUACGUGAGCUGGGUUCAGACCGUCGACGGAGGCGGCCCAGGCGGGUAACCGCCUGUGGAAAAACCGGCUCAUAACGGGGAAGCCCUCCGGGUCCACCGACCGGAUGCCGAGGGUGACCCCGUGGGAAGGUGAAGGCAGUGGACGAGACCACGAAGGCCUACGUAGCGGGGUUCCUGGACGGCGACGGAAGUGUAAUGUUGCAACUGAAGCCAAGGCGUGACUACCGUUACGGCUUCCAGAUCAAGGCGACGAUCAGUUUCUACCAAGACCGACGGAGCCGACACGUCCUAGAGUGGUGGCGUGCGCAACUGGGAGUUGGCUCCGUACGGAACCGACCGGACGGCAUCUGUCAGUACGAUAUCGAGGGCGUGGAUGCCGUCAGUCGGGUCCUGGUAGAAGUCGCUCCGUACAUCGUGGCGAAGAAGCAGCAGGUCGAGACAGCGGUGCGGUUGCUCUGCGAGAUCCGGCAGAGUCCGCGACCGUCGCCACAGGAGUUCUUGGAGUGGGCCGAGCGGGUGGAGUCCUACCAGCGCCUAAACUACUCGAAGCGCCCGCGGUACGGGACAGAAGACGUACGGCGGGAGCUGGUAGCACGGCGCGCCUUCACCCCCGUAACGACUGAGGCCGUGGAGGCCGAGGCUCGGGCGGCGACCAGACAGGAACCCAUCGCCCGGGCAACACGCCGGCACCCCCGAAAGGGGGUGGUGGGAUAGUCUACCCCCCGAGGAAACUCGGGGAGACGGUGCGUGAGACAGGUCGGUCCCUAUCCACUGCGGGCGUCGGUGGCUUGAGGGGGGCUGCUCCUAGUACGAGAGGACCGGAGUGGACGCACCUCUGGUGUACCGGUUGUCGCGCCAGCGGCACGCGCCGGGUAGCCAUGUGCGGUCGUGAUAAGCGCUGAAAGCAUCUAAGCGCGAAGCACGCCCCAAGAUGAGGCCACCCACCGGGUCAACCGGGUAAGGCCCCAGGUAGACGACCUGGUAGAUAGGCCGGAGGUGGAAGCGCGGCAACGCGUGAAGCCGACCGGUACUAAUCGGCCGAGGGCUUGAAGGG